GAUCAUGGCUCAGGAUGAACGCUAGUUACAGGCUUAACACAUGCAAGUCGAGGGGCAGCAUGGUCUUAGCUUGCUAAGGCUGAUGGCGACCGGCGCACGGGUGAGUAACACGUAUCCAACCUGCCGUCUACUCUUGGCCAGCCUUCUGAAAGGAAGAUUAAUCCAGGAUGGGAUCAUGAGUUCACAUGUCCGCAUGAUUAAAGGUAUUUUCCGGUAGACGAUGGGGAUGCG
rnacentral:rRNA from 1 species